GUCUACGGCCAUACCACCCUGAACGUGCCCGAUCUCGUCUGAUCUCGGAAGCUAAGCAAGGUCGGGCCUGGUUAGUACUUGGAUGGAGAGGUGCAUGCACGUUCACU
rnacentral:rRNA from 1 species